UCUUGCCCUCUUGCUCCCCUUCUCUCCACAUUUCCUUCCCCCUUUCCUCCAAGUGGCCAAGGCCAGCCUAUACUCUAUUCUCUCCCUCUCUCUGCCUUUCUCAGGCUCUACUACCCUUUUAGCGCCCCUUCCUGCCAUGAAAAUAAAUGCCUUAAAACCAUGGACUGCCUCUCCUCAUCAGCACCUGCCAUGCUGGAGCAAUGGAGCAGGCCUGGGAACCCCGAACCAGCUCCUGUAGGUCUGCAGGACAUCAGACUGCACCUCCCCAGCCCUGGAGCGGGAUCUUGUGGCUUCUCACAGAGGAACAACUGCCCGGCAGCAGCAUGGGGUCCUCACAGUCAAACUUCUUGUGUCCACCUCCACAAGCGGCCCUAGCCUUGUGGUGGACUUGAUGCAGGACACCAUUUUAACCCACAUGUGAUUGAACUGAACUUGUCAAAACAACAAAGCAGAGACUCCCUUCACUUGGUGUGACUUGAACAUCUGAGCAAGUCUUAUUGAGAACUGAGGAAUAAAGGUUAUGUAUAAUGGAGGC